CUCAAAGUGUGUUCCUCAACCAGCAUCACUGACGUCCCAUGAACACUGGUUAGAAAUUCAGAAUCUUAGGUCCUACUCCAGACCUGGUGCCCAAUAACUGCCUUUUAAUAACAUCCUCAGGGAAUUUUAGGCACACAAAAUUGUGAAAAACACAGAACCAUUUCUCUAUAGUUCCCAGGCCCUAUUUAACUCUAUAAAGUUUCAGAGUCCAGAGGUCAAGGUUUCGGAAGGGAUAGGGUUCUGGAAUGUUAAAAGUCUAGAUUUUUAAGGUUCUAGGAUUCUAAUACUCUGAGGUUUUAGGAUUCUAAUGUCCUCUGGUUCUCAGAUUUGAGCCUUCUAGGUUUCCACUGUUCUAGAAUCCUAAGGGUCUGAAGUUCUGAGGCCCCCAGUACUGAGCAUCUCUGUGGGUGGCAGGCAGGGUGCUCACAGCAGAUAAUAACCAGUCCUCUUCCUUCUCCAUCUCUCCUCUUGCUCCUCUGGCCCCUUUCCUUCCUUUCCUCUCUCCAUUUCUCUCUCUGUGUGUCUCUCUUUCCCUCCUUGUCACCCUCAGCUGUGCCCAGCAGUCCGUGGCCUCCUUGAAAGCCUGGAUGCGGAGUAUGUUAAGAACCGCAUUGGUGAACUUUGGGAAGCCCAGCAGGGACAGUGAAGAGCACAGAUGAGGAAACUGCUGUGAUGCCCACCUGCUGAUUGAAUCCUGACUCAAUCUCUGUACAGCCUCCCUAUGGGACAGGCAGUGCUGCUACCAUCUAUCAGGAGGGACAACUGAGUCCAGUCAAGCACACUCUCAGAUACUCCUUCUCUCAAUCAGGACACCCUGUGCUCAUCACCCUCCACCCCAGCAAUAAAAAGC
rnacentral:lncRNA from 1 species